rnacentral:rRNA from 1 species
GACGUAGGGCGCGAGCGUUGUCCGGAUUUAUUGGGCGUAAAGAGCUCGUAGGCGGCUCGUUGCGUCGGGCUGUGAAAACCCGCAGCUCAACUGUGGGCUUGCAGCUGAUACGGGCGGGCUGGGAUUCGGUAGGGGAGACUGGAAUUCCUGGUGUAGCGGUGAAAUGCGCAGAUAUCAGGAGGAACACCGGUGGCGAAGGCGGGUCUCUGGGCCCGAUAUCGACGCUGAGGAGCGAA